rnacentral:rRNA from 1 species
UACGAGGGGUGCAAGCGUUGCUCGGAAUUAUUGGGCGUAAAGGGUAGGUAGGUGGUCUCAUUUGUCUGGGGUGAAAGCCCUGAGCUUAACUCAAGAAGUGCCCCGGAAACGGUGAGACUGGAGUCCUGGAGAGGGUCGUGGAAUUCCCGGUGUAGCGGUGAAAUGCGUAGAGAUCGGGAGGAACACCAGAGGCGAAGGCGGCGACCUGGACAGGCACUGACACUCAACUACGAAAGCGUGGGGAGCAAACAGG